rnacentral:rRNA from 1 species
GACGAACGCUGGCGGUGUGCUUAACACAUGCAAGUCGAACGGAAAGGCCCUGCUUUUGUGGGGUGCUCGAGUGGCGAACGGGUGAGUAACACGUGAGUAACCUGCCCUUGACUUUGGGAUAACUUCAGGAAACUGGGGCUAAUACCGGAUAGGAGCUCCUGCUGCAUGGUGGGGGUUGGAAAGUUUCGGCGGUUGGGGAUGGACCCGCGGCUUAUCAGCUUGUUGGUGGGGUAGUGGCUUACCAAGGCUUUGACGGGUAGCCGGCCUGAGAGGGUGACCGGCCACAUUGGGACUGAGAUACGGCCCAGACUCCUACGGGAGGCAGCAGUGGGGAAUAUUGCACAAUGGGCGGAAGCCUGAUGCAGCAACGCCGCGUGCGGGAUGACGGCCUUCGGGUUGUAAACCGCUUUCGCCUGUGACGAAGCGUGAGUGACGGUAAUGGGUAAAGAAGCACCGGCUAACUACGUG